UACGAAGGGGGCUAGCGUUGUUCGGAAUUACUGGGCGUAAAGCGCACGUAGGCGGAUUGUUAAAGUGAGGGGUGAAAAUCCCAGGGCUCAACCCUGGAACUGCCUCUCAUACUGGCAAUCUCGAGUUCGAGAGAGGUGAGUGGAAUUGACGAGUGUAGAGGUAGAAAUUCGUAGAUAUUCGCAAGGAACACCAGUGGCGAAGGCGGCUCACUGGCUCGAUACUGACGCUGAGGUGCGAAAGCGUGGGGAGCGAACAGG
rnacentral:rRNA from 1 species